rnacentral:rRNA from 1 species
ACGGCUCAGUAACACGUAGCUAACCUACCCUUAAGUCGAGGAUACUCUCGGGAAACUGAGGUUAAUACUCGAUAGGAGAUGUACCCUGGAAUGAUUCAUCUCUCAAAUUCGAGCUUAAGGAUGGGGCUGCGGCGGAUUAGGUUGUUGGCGGGGUAAAAGCCCACCAAGCCGAUGAUCCGUAAGGGCUCUUAGCGGAGAGGCCCUGAGAGGGAAUCUGAGACACUAUUCCCAGCCCUACGGGGUGCAGCAGUUAGGAAUCUUCUGCAAUGCGCGCAAGCGUGACAGAUUGAGUCAGAGUGCUUUUCAUAUGAAAAGCUUUUGCCAAAUGUAAAAAGUUUGGCGAAUAAGGACUGGGUAAGACGGGUGCCAGCCGCCGCGGUAAUACCCGCGGUCCAAGUCGCAGCCAUCAUUAUUGGGUCUAAAACAUCCGUAGCUUGCUUGAUAAGUUUCUUGUGAAAUUCCAUGUCUCAAAUAUGGAGCGGGCAAGAAGUACUGUUAAGCUAGAGACUGGAAGACGUAAGAAGUACGUUUGGAGUAGCGGUAAAAUGUGUUAAUCCCAGACGGACUAACAACAGCGAAGGCAUCUUACGAGGACAGUUCUGACAGUAAGGGAUGAAGGCUAGGGGCGCGAAAGGGAUUAGAUACCCCUGUAGUCCUAGCAGUAAACACUGCACACUAAACAUUAGUACCUCCUCGAGAGGUGUUAGUGCUGAAGAGAAGUCGAAGAGUGUGCUACCUGGGAAGUAUAGUCGCAAGGCUGAAACUUAAAGGAAUUGGCGGGGGAGCACAA